GAAGUAAGAUAAGUAAUCGCGGCUGCAAAUGCCGAAAGGCAGCAGGUGAGGAAAGUCCGGGCUUCACAGGGCAGGAUGCCGGAUAACGUCCGGUGGAGGUGACUCCAAGGAAAGUGCAACAGAAAUAUACCGCUGCGGGAUUUCCCGUCAGUAAGGGUGGAAAGGUGGUGUAAGAGACCACCGCUUUGCUGGUAACAGCAAGGGUCCCUGUAAACCCCAUCCGAAGCAAGACCGAAUGGAAACGUAUGUGGCCCGCUAGUUUCAGGUUGGUCGCUUGAGGCGAUUGGCGACAGUCGUCCUAGAUAGAUGAUUACUCCAGACAUAACCCGGCUCAUCGUCUUGCUUCUUUU
rnacentral:RNase_P_RNA from 1 species